rnacentral:rRNA from 1 species
AACGAACGCUGGCGGCAUGCCUAACACAUGCAAGUCGAACGAGACCUUCGGGUCUAGUGGCGCACGGGUGCGUAACGCGUGGGAACCUGCCCUUAGGUUCGGAAUAACUCCUCGAAAGGGGUGCUAAUACCGGAUAAUGUCUUCGGACCAAAGAUUUAUCGCCUUUGGAUGGGCCCGCGUUGGAUUAGCUAGUUGGUAGGGUAAAAGCCUACCAAGGCGACGAUCCAUAGCUGGUCUGAGAGGAUGAUCAGCCACACUGGGACUGAGACACGGCCCAGACUCCUACGGGAGGCAGCAGCGGGGAAUAUUGGACAAUGGGCGAAAGCCUGAUCCAGCAAUGCCGCGUGAGUGAUGAAGGCCUUAGGGUUGUAAAGCUCUUUUACCCGGGAUGAUAAUGACAGUACCGGGAGAAUAAGCUCCGGCUAACUCCGUG